rnacentral:pre_miRNA from 3 species
UGUGGAAUUGCUGGAUCAUAUGAUAAAUUUAUGUUUAGCUUUUUAAGAAACUGCCAGAUUGUUUUCCAAAGUAAGUGCACCAUUUUACAUUCCCACUAGCAAU